CCUACGGGAGGCAGCAGUGAGGAAUAUUGGGCAAUGGAGGAAACUCUGACCCAGCCAUGCCGCGUGCAGGAAGACGGCCCUAUGGGUUGUAAACUGCUUUUGUACGAGAAUAAACCUUUCCACGUGUGGAAAGCUGAAGGUACCGUACGAAUAAGGAUCGGCUAACUCCGUGCCAGCAGCCGCGGUAAUACGGAGGAUCCAAGCGUUAUCCGGAUUUAUUGGGUUUAAAGGGUCCGUAGGCGGGUCUUUAAGUCAGUGGUGAAAGCCUGCAGCUUAACUGUAGAAUUGCCAUUGAUACUGGAGGCCUUGAGUGUAGUAGAAGUAGGCGGAAUAAGGCAUGUAGCGGUGAAAUGCAUAGAUAUGCCUUAGAACACCGAUUGCGAAGGCAGCUUACUAUGUUACAACUGACGCUGAGGGACGAAAGCGUGGGGAGCGAACAGGAUUAGAUACCCUGGUAGUCCACGCCGUAAACGAUGAUUACUCGCUGUUAGCGAUAUACAGUUAGCGGCCAAGCGAAAGCAUUAAGUAAUCCACCUGGGGAGUACGCCGGCAACGGUGAAACUCAAAGGAAUUGACGG
rnacentral:rRNA from 1 species